ACUCCUACGGGAGGCAGCAGUGGGGAAUAUUGCACAAUGGGCGCAAGCCUGAUGCAGCCAUGCCGCGUGUAUGAAGAAGGCCUUCGGGUUGUAAAGUACUUUCAGCAGUGAGGAAGGUGGAUAUGUUAAUAGCAUAUUCAUUUGACGUUAGCUGCAGAAGAAGCACCGGCUAACUCCGUGCCAGCAGCCGCGGUAAUACGGAGGGUGCGAGCGUUAAUCGGAAUUACUGGGCGUAAAGCGCAUGCAGGUGGUUUGUUAAGUCAGAUGUGAAAGCCCGGGGCUCAACCUCGGAAUUGCAUUUGAAACUGGCAAACUAGAGUACUGUAGAGGGGGGUAGAAUUUCAGGUGUAGCGGUGAAAUGCGUAGAGAUCUGAAGGAAUACCGGUGGCGAAGGCGGCCCCCUGGACAGAUACUGACACUCAGAUGCGAAAGCGUGGGGAGCAAACAGGAUUAGAUACCCUGGUAGACUCUGC
rnacentral:rRNA from 1 species